CCUACGGGAGGCAGCAGUGGGGAAUAUUGCACAAUGGGGGAAACCCUGAUGCAGCGACGCCGCGUGAGUGAAGACGUAAUUCGUUAUGUAAAGCUCUAUCAGCAGGGAAGAAAAUGACGGUACCUGAGUAAGAAGCCCCGGCUAACUACGUGCCAGCAGCCGCGGUAAUACGUCGGGGGCAAGCGUUAUCCGGAUUUACGGGGUGUAAAGGGAGCGUAGACGGCGGUGCAAGUCUGGAGUGAAAGGCUGGGGCUCAACCCCCGGACUGCUUUGGAAACUGUACGGCUGGAGUGCAGGAGAGGUAAGUGGAAUUCCUAGUGUAGCGGUGAAAUGCGUAGAUAUUAGGAGGAACACCAGUGGCGAAGGCGGCUUACUGGACUGUAACUGACGUUGAGGCUCGAAAGCGUGGGGAGCAAACAGGAUUAGAUACCCUUGUAGUC
rnacentral:rRNA from 1 species